GCCAGAGUGGUGUAGUGGUUUCACUACUAGACUACAAACUUUGGAGACCAGGGUUCGAAUUCCCAGUUGGCC